rnacentral:rRNA from 1 species
GAUGAACGCUAGCUACAGGCUUAACACAUGCAAGUCGAGGGGAAACGACAUCGAAAGCUUGCUUUUGAUGGGCGUCGACCGGCGCACGGGUGAGUAACGCGUAUCCAACCUGCCCAUCACUUGGGAAUAACCUUGCGAAAGUAAGACUAAUACCCAAUGACAUCCCACGAAGACAUCUGAAUGGGAUUAAAGAUUUAUCGGUGAUGGAUGGGGAUGCGUCUGAUUAGCUUGUUGGCGGGGUAACGGCCCACCAAGGCAACGAUCAGUAGGGGUUCUGAGAGGAAGGUCCCCCACAUUGGAACUGAGACACGGUCCACACUCCUACGGGAGGCAGCAGUGAGGAAUAUUGGUCAAUGGGCGAGAGCCUGAACCAGCCAAGUAGCGUGCAGGAUGACGGCCCUAUGGGUUGUAAACUGCUUUUAUAAGGGAAUAAAGUGGGUCUCGUGAGACUUUUUGCAUGUACCUUAUGAAUAAGGACCGGCUAAUUCCGUG